rnacentral:rRNA from 1 species
AGAGUUUGAUCCUGGCUCAGAUUGAACGCUGGCGGCAGGCCUAACACAUGCAAGUCGAACGGUAGCACAGAGAGCUUGCUCUUGGGUGACGAGUGGCGGACGGGUGAGUAAUGUCUGGGAAACUGCCCGAUGGAGGGGGAUAACUACUGGAAACGGUAGCUAAUACCGCAUAACGUCGCAAGACCAAAGUGGGGGACCUUCGGGCCUCACACCAUCGGAUGUGCCCAGAUGGGAUUAGCUAGUAGGUGGGGUAAUGGCUCACCUAGGCGACGAUCCCUAGCUGGUCUGAGAGGAUGACCAGCCACACUGGAACUGAGACACGGUCCAGACUCCUACGGGAGGCAGCAGUGGGGAAUAUUGCACAAUGGGCGCAAGCCUGAUGCAGCCAUGCCGCGUGUAUGAAGAAGGCCUUCGGGUUGUAAAGUACUUUCAGCGAGGAGGAAGGCGUUGUAGUUAAUAACUGCAGCGAUUGACGUUACUCGCAGAAGAAGCACCGGCUAACUCCGUGCCAGCAGCCGCGGUAA